rnacentral:rRNA from 1 species
GACAUAGGGGGCAAGCGUUGUUCGGAAUUACUGGGCGUAAAGGGAGCGUAGGCGGGAGAUUAAGUUAAGAGUGAAAGCCUUGGGCUCAACCCAAGAAAUGCUCUUAAUACUGGUUUUCUAGAGUGUGGGAGAGGUAAGUGGAAUUCCUAGUGUAGCGGUAGAAUGCGUAGAGAUUAGGAGGAACAUCAGAGGCGAAGGCGGCUUACUGGACCAUAACUGACGCUGAGGCUCGAAAGCGUGGGGAGCAAACA